rnacentral:rRNA from 1 species
UUGCUAGAUUGAUGGCGAGUGGCGAACGGGUGAGUAAUACAUCGGAACGUGCCCUGUAGUGGGGGAUAACUAGUCGAAAGAUUAGCUAAUACCGCAUACGACCUGAGGGUGAAAGUGGGGGACCGCAAGGCCUCAUGCUAUAGGAGCGGCCGAUGUCUGAUUAGCUAGUUGGUGGGGUAAAGGCCCACCAAGGCGACGAUCAGUAGCUGGUCUGAGAGGACGAUCAGCCACACUGGGACUGAGACACGGCCCAGACUCCUACGGGGGGCAGCAGUGGGGAAUUUUGGACAAUGGGCUAAAGCCUGAUCCAGCAAUGCCGCGUGUGUGAAGAAGGCCUUCGGGUUGUAAAGCACUUUUGUCCGGAAAGAAAUGGCUCUGGUUAAUACCUGGGGUCGAUGACGGUACCGGAAGAAUAAGGACCGGCUAACUACGUGCCAGCAGCCGCGGUAAUACGUAGGGUCCAAGCGUUACUCGGAAUUACUGGGCGUAAAGCGUGCGCAGGCGGUUGUGCAAGACCGAUGUGAAAUCCCCGAGCUUAACUUGGGAAUUGCAUUGGUGACUGCACGGCUAGAGUGUGUCAGAGGGGGGUAGAAUUCCACGUGUAGCAGUGAAAUGCGUAGAGAUGUGGAGGAAUACCGAUGGCGAAGGCAGCCCCCUGGGAUAACACUGACGCUCAUGCACGAAAGCGUGGGGAGCAAACAGGAUUAGAUACCCUGGUAGUCCACGCCCUAAACGAUGUCAACUAGUUGUUGGGGAUUCAUUCCCUUAGUAACGUAGCUAACGCGUGAAGUUGACCGCCUGGGGAGUACGGUCGCAAGAUUAAAACUCAAAGGAAUUGACGGGGACCCGCACAAGCGGUGGAUGAUGUGGAUUAAUUCGAUGCAACGCGAAAAACCUUACCUACCCUUGACAUGCCACUAACGAAGCAGAGAUGCAUUAGGUGCUCGAAAGAGAAAGUGGACACAGGUGCUGCAUGGCUGUCGUCAGCUCGUGUCGUGAGAUGUUGGGUUAAGUCCCGCAACGAGCGCAACCCUUGUCUCUAGUUGCUACGAAAGGGCACUCUAGAGAGACUGCCGGUGACAAACCGGAGGAAGGUGGGGAUGACGUCAAGUCCUCAUGGCCCUUAUGGGUAGGGCUUCACACGUCAUACAAUGGUGCAUACAGAGGGUUGCCAAGCCGCGAGGUGGAGCUAAUCCCAGAAAAUGCAUCGUAGUCCGGAUCGUAGUCUGCAACUCGACUACGUGAAGCUGGAAUCGCUAGUAAUCGCGGAUCAGCAUUCCGCGGUGAAUACGUUCCCGGGUCUUGUACACACCGCCCGUCACACCAUGGGAGUGGGCUUUACCAGAAGUAGUUAGCCUAA